GAAAAAAAAAAACAGCCUUCAAACAGGGCAGGAAGAGGCGCCAUAAGUAAGAUUACUAUAUACAAAAAGUGAGACCCAGGAAGAAAUAUGCCUUCAGAGAAAGGUGGAACAAGGUGGAAGACCCCUUCAUGCACAAGCAGACAAUAAGGAAUAUUGCCUAGGACCUGGAGGUGACCUGUCCAGGGGUGGAAGGUGCUGCAUCUACAGGGGUCCCCAAGGACCAAGGUGCUAUCCGUCUCCCUGUUCAUCUCCCAGAGUGGUAUACUCAUCCAGUGCACUCAUCUGGAGCAAUUCACAUGCACCAUGUCUACAUUCCAGCCUGUGGGAAAGCAAGAAAGGAUGACCAGGACACACGGUGCAUCAAUAAGAAGAUGACUAUAAGUGUUGUGUUUUCAUUCCUCUCACUUCCCAUUGGCCCAAACUUAGUCACGUGACCACAACAAUUACAAGGCCAUCUGGGAAGUGUAGUAUCUAUUUGAGCAGUUGAGUAUCUGGCUACAAAUUGGAGCAUUCUGUUAUUUUAAGAAUAAAGGAAUAAAAGACACACACUGUGGUCUUCUGCCGUAAUUGUCCAGUUGUUCUCUGGACUAGAGGUGAAGAUUUUUUAGCUGGGGGUUUUGUUAAAGUAGUCAGAAAGACCUCUGAGGAGGGACAUUUGAUACGAGAUUGAAAGACA
rnacentral:lncRNA from 1 species